rnacentral:rRNA from 1 species
CCUACGGGGAGCAGCAGUCGAGAAUCAUUCACAAUGGGGGAAACCCUGAUGGUGCGACGCCGCGUGGGGGAAUGAAGUUCUUCGGAUUGUAAACCCCUGUCAUGUGGGAGCAAAUUAAAAAGAUAGUACCACAAGAGGAAGAGACGGCUAACUCUGUGCCAGCAGCCGCGGUAAUACAGAGGUCUCAAGCGUUGUUCGGAAUCACUGGGCGUAAAGCGUGCGUAGGCUGUUUCGUAAGUCGUGUGUGAAAGGCGCGGGCUCAACCCGCGGAAGGCACAUGAUACUGCGAGACUAGAGUAAUGGAGGGGGAACCGGAAUUCUCGGUGUAGCGGUGAAAUGCGUAGAUAUCAGGAGGAACAUCGGUGGCGAAAGCGCUUUACUGGACCAUGAUUGACGCUGAGGAACGAAAGCCAGGGGAGCAAAUGGGAUUAGAUACCCCUGUAGUC